AUAUAGGUAAACGUGUGUGGGUGUGUGCGUGUGUGCGUUCGUGCUAUACAUCUUCACUUUAACUCUGCUUUUAAUCACUGCUCUAAUAACUAACCACACACACACACACCGUUGCUCAAACGCACAGACACACAUACAUACACACUCAUCUUCGCAUACGCACAUACACAAAACUGCAAGAUCACACGCAUACACACACAAUACACCCUUUCUGAGAAUCUAAAGCGUGUAACGACGCGAAACUACCAAAUUCCUCUCUUCCUUCCUCUCCCUCAUUCUCUCUCUCGCUCCUCCUCUCACUGUUUCACUGCUCCUCUGUCUCUCGUUCCCUACUCUUUCUCUCUCUCUCUCAGUAUAUGCUUCUCCUUCUCUCUCUCUCUCUCUCUCUCUCUCUCUUUCCCUCCUUAUUUCUCAGUCUAUCCGCCCCCCUCUCUCUCUCCCUCUCUCAGCUGACCAAUUCUUUGCAGAGAAAACACAGAAUUCACUUCGAUAUCAAUUUGAAAUCUUCACCAAAUCAAUUACAAGUAAUAGACCAGUCUUGCAGAAAAGAUCAAACAUUACAAGACAAUGAAGAACUUAUUGAUUUUCGU